AUGGACACUGUCACAAGCAUGGUAGGUGAAAAGCCAGUGGUGAUAUUCAGCAAGAGUACUUGUUGUUUGAGCCAUUCUGUAACAUCACUGAUACGUAGCUUUGGAGCCAACCCUAUUGUUUAUGAGCUUGAUAAGAUCACAAAUGGGUCGCAGAUUGAGAGAGAGUUGCUUCAAAUGGGGUGCAAACCAAGUGUGCCUGCUGUUUUCAUAGGACAACAGUUCAGAGGUGGUUCUAAGAAAAUUAUGAGUCUUCAUGUGAGGAAUGAGUUAGUGCCUAUGUUGAAAGAGGCUGGUGCUAUAUGGAUUUGA